UACGAAGGGGGCUAGCGUUGCUCGGAAUCACUGGGCGUAAAGCGCACGUAGGCGGAUUGCUAAGUCAGGGGUGAAAUCCUGGAGCUCAACUCCAGAACUGCCUUUGAUACUGAAGAUCUUGAGUCCGGGAGAGGUGAGUGGAACUGCGAGUGUAGAGGUGAAAUUCGUAGAUAUUCGCAAGAACACCAGUGGCGAAGGCGGCUCACUGGCCCGGUACUGACGCUGAGGCACGAAAGCGUGGGGAGCGAACAGG
rnacentral:rRNA from 1 species